rnacentral:rRNA from 1 species
AGAGUUUGAUCAUGGCUCAGAACGAACGCUGGCGGCAUGCCUAACACAUGCAAGUCGAACGCUCAUCUUCGGAUGGGAGUGGCGCACGGGUGAGUAACGCGUGGGAACCUGCCCUGGGGUGGGGGAUAACCGAUGGAAACGUCGGCUAAUACCGCAUACGUCCUGAGGGAGAAAGAUUUAUCGCCCUGGGAGGGGCCCGCGUCGGAUUAGCUAGUUGGUGGGGUAACGGCCUACCAAGGCGAUGAUCCGUAGCUGGUCUGAGAGGAUGAUCAGCCACACUGGGACUGAGACACGGCCCAGACUCCUACGGGAGGCAGCAGUGGGGAAUAUUGGACAAUGGGCGCAAGCCUGAUCCAGCAAUGCCGCGUGAGUGAUGAAGGCCUUAGGGUUGUAAAGCUCUUUCGGCGGGGACGAUGAUGACGGUACCCGCAGAAGAAGCCCCGGCUAACUUCGUGCCAGCAGCCGCGGUAAUACGAAGGGGGCAAGCGUUGUUCGGAAUUACUGGGUGUAAAGGGCGCGCAGGCGGCCGAUCAAGUCAGAUGUGAAAGCCCCGGGCUCAACCUGGGAAUAGCAUUUGGGACUGGUCGGUUAGAGUUCGGGAGAGGAGAGUGGAAUUCCCAGUGUAGAGGUGAAAUUCGUAGAUAUUGGGAAGAACACCGGUGGCGAAGGCGGCUCUCUGGACCGACACUGACGCUGAGGCGCGAAAGCGUGGGGAGCAAACAGGAUUAGAUACCC